CUUUGGUGCAAUCUAUGCUCAGGUAAAGAAGGCGUCGAGGCGAAUCUCCAGGAGUUCCAGGACUUCGACGAGUUCGAGGAUUAGGCUAGCGACCUCCCCUAGUCAGCUGCCUGUGGUGGGCUUAUUUACGUUGGCUACGUUUCUGUUCUGUGUACUUUGAUUAUAUUAUGUAAAUGACUCUAGUCUUUCAUAUUAUUACUUAUCUUAUUGUUAUUCGAAGCAUUGUGCUAUGAUGAGUCAUUUAUGUAAUCGUCGUGUACGUGAAUUUCUGAUCCUGGCACGUACAUGGUUCGCAUUCGGUUUACCUUCCAAAACCGGGUGUGACAUAAGUGGUAUCAAAGCCUUGUUGACUGUAGGACCGCUAUCCUAAAGUAGCAUUGGCCGUUUUUAAGGACUUAUUGAUUUUUACUUCACCUCAUCCUUGAUGCUGUUUCAAAAUAUUAGCCACCUCGACUAAUUAUAUGUUGUGCUUCUAUAUGCCCCCUUGCCAAAAGUAUUUUAUUCUAUUAUGGUCUGACCUUUCUCAAUCUAUUAGAUCUGAUCUCACUCUUGUGCUUGCGACAUCCUUGUAGAUGCCCACUGACCAUAGCAUUCUUGUCUUUUUGGGAUUCUUUCCUUUUUCGUCAUUAAGUUGCUACCAUCUGGCGAACUCUAGUGCUUUGGUAUUGACAUGCUCGUAUCCCUUCCAUACUCUUGUUUCAAAUACUUGCCUCUAAAUUUCUACUACCUACUUAAACAUUUCAUUUAUAUGUCCAUGACCUUCUUGUCUUUUGAGACCCUUUCCUAUUCUAUUGUUAAGUCGCUAUCUUUUGGCAAUUUGUACUCUCUUCGUCUUGGUAUGCUAGUAUCCUUGGAAUCUUGCAUACUCUUAUAUUCUUAUGUAUGCUUAUUUUCAUACCCCAAUAACUGUCCAAGACAUUUCAGUUAACAUGUCCUUGACCACCCCUGUUUCUUAACGGUCCAUGAGCGACCAUUUUAUUUCGCACAUCCUUAGUGAUCUUGUUGUUUCCUUAUAACUUCCCUCGGUAAUGAAUUUUUUUCCUCAACCAUUCUGUUGGAACCUUACCUAUCUUACCCUUGAUUGUUUUCUCUACUUCGUCAAUUCACGAGUCUUGCCUUAACUCUAUCCUUUGUUAUGCUUUUCAUUAUUAUCAUCUUUACCCUUGACACCUCUAUAUCUUACAUUGAUGUUUAUCAUAUACCUACCCUUUAGAAUCUCCUCUCUCCUAUCUCAAUCUGAGAGUUGUAUUUUACCUUUUUUCCCUUGGUAGUAUCCUUUUCCUCAUUGCUCUUGAGUUUUCAACACCACCCUUUGCUGUGCUUCUGUUUAGUUUUGCCUUUACCUUUCCCAUCUCUCGACCAUACCUUGGUGAUUACAUUAUGUCUGUGAUAUAAAAUCUCCAAUCUCCUAUCCCAAUUUGAUAAUGAUGCUUUACAUAUCUUAUCCUUGGCCACAUCCUCUUCUUUACCGUGUGUGAGCCUGGACGCAACUUCAUUCUUUGUUGUACUCAUACCACUGGCUCUCCAAUGCCUUCAUCUUUUCUCUCAUACCCUUGUCUGUUGUCGCCUUUGACACUUGCGAUAUUGAGGCCUUCUACCUAAAUGCUUACCUUGAACUUAUGCUUUAAAAGCCUCCCCUUUCUUUCAACCCAGAUUGAGAGUUGCGAGUUACCUAUCUCUCCCUUGAUUUCUUUUCACUUCUUGUCGCCUUACAAGUUUUGGUCUUCAUUCCAUCCUUUGUUGUGUAUUUUAUUUGCUAUCACCAUCUCCUUGUCAUCCAUCGAUCUUGCCUUGAUACUCAUCUUUAUUCUGGCUCUUUAAAAUCUCCUCCCUUCCACCUCAAUUUGAGAGUGGUAGUUUACCUAUUUGACCCUUGGACGUACCCUCCCAUUUUCCAUUUGCAGGUCUUGUCUUAACUCCAUCCUUUGUGGUAUUUAUAUUCUUGGUUCUUAUGCACGUUUACCUCCUCUCCUAGAUCCUUGUAUGUUAUCACCUUUAAACCCUCGUGAUACCUAUGCCUUUGCCCACAUGCUUACUUUGAGCCUACCCUUUAAAGCCUCCUCUUUUUCAUCGCUGUUUGAGGAUAAUGCCUCACCUAUUUCACCAUUGACUGCUCCUCCUUUGACGCCUUGCAAGUCUUGUCUAAAUACAUUCUUUGUUGUGUGUUGGUCUAUUAUCACCUUAACCCUUGUCAUCCAUUGAUAUUUACCUUGAUGCUUAUCAUGUACUUGCAUUUUAAUGCCUCCCCUCCCAUUUCAUUCCAAGAAUGAUGUCUUGCCCAUCUCGCUCUUGUCCGUUCCCUUUUCCUCUGUCGCGUUGCAAGUCUUAGCUUUUGCUCGAUAUCACCGUUACCUUCCUAAUAUCUAGAUCUUUCCAUGAUGCUUAUCUCAUGCUUACCUUUUGAAAUAUCAUCUUUCCCAUCUCGAUUUGAGAAUGGUGUUUUACCUAUCCUGACCUUGGUUGCAUUUUCUCCCUUGCCGGUUACAAUUCUUGCCUUAGCUUCAUCCUUUAUUAUGCCCAUGCCCCUAACCUACAUGUCUUAUCAUUCCCCUUGACUUUCGAUGGUCUUAGAAUAGUUUCCCCUUGGUAAGGAAAGACCACCAUUUAAUUAAAAGUUACGUAUAGCAACGAGAUGUUUGUUGUUGUAUGAUUGUGUUGUUUGUCUUUGUGUUAUGACUGAUUUGCUUCUUUGUAAUGGAUGUGGGUGUGUUGUGGCCCCUAGGUCCGCAAGGGCAUCCGUUUACUAGCUGAGUGUCGUAGAGUUAAGUAGUUGGGUGCUCUCCCUGUUAUCUUUUAAUUCAUCUAGAAUUACCUUUUCUAUCUAUACCCUUCCCACUUGCACCUGUUCGAUUGGCAUCCUCCAACCUCUUUUAAUCAGUCAAGAUCACAGUCGACAGCAUCUUCAUCAAGUGCGUAUCAACGCUCCUGUUAAGGGGGUUAGCCACUAACCCCAAUGAAGACAAUGCGAUCAACAUCAACCAACAAGAUCAAAGUGGCGCAGCGGAAGUGUGUGUGGGUCCUAACCCACAGGUCCUAGAAUCCUCAAAGAUCCUCUCAAUUGGUCUCGAGCACCUGAAGGUCAAAGCAACCAGUCCACAAGUUGAGCCGACAGAUUCAAAGUGGAAGUGAAGAAACUUCGAGCAAUCCAUGAACCAACCAUGUCAUUCUUGCUAGCCCCUUCAUGAAUCUCGGGGGCGAGAUUCUAUUAAGAGGGUUAGAUUUGUAACACCCUAAAUUUGAGGUCAUAAAUUUUUUCUAAUAUCCACCAAAUUAGGGUGUUACCCGCCUCAUUUCCCCUUGUCUUUCUUUAUCUUUUCAAAAUAGUGUAGGAAUAUUUUGUUUGUUAUAUAUAACUGUUAAAUGUAUUAACAAAACCUUAAGGGAAUAAUGGUUGUUGCAUCAUGCUGUAACACAGUUAUUUUUGUCGGACGUGUUGCCUUGAGUGUGCAUCUAUUUGAUUCAUGGAUCAUUCUUGUGUAUAAAUUUAAUUGAAAAAAGGAGAACGAAUAAAGAAAAGAGAAUGGAAAUAAAUAACAAAAAGACAUUUUCCCCUUCCCCUCCUUCCCUAGGCAGUCUAGUCCGCUCCCCGGCCCAGCAGCCAGCACGUGCGCAGCCCGCCCUUCGUGCUCGGCACGUCACGGCCCAGCUCCUUGCCCGCGCUCUGUGCCCUCCCCUGGCCUAGCCACCCCGCUCGGUCGUGGCCCGGCGCGCACGGUGCACGCGCCCGUGUUGCUUCGCCGGCAACCGCCCUGUUCCCGUGGCCUAGCGCGCGCUCCCAACCGCAGCCUAGCGCAAUGCCAGCCCAGCGCAGCGCCAGCCCAGGCAGAUGCGUUGUGUGCCCAGCAGCCUGCACGCGAGCGUGGGCAGCGCCCAGCCGCGUUCCUGGCUAGCGGGGCCCACUUGCUAGACCAAUCUGCCUAGCCAAGCUUGUGUGCUCCUGUUAUCUAGAUGAAACCGACCCCGCGCAUCCUCCUCCCCAAGAAAAUGCCACCUUGUCCUCAUCUCGAGAUUCGUAGGCAACCGUCGACCCCUUCCAGAACAGCGGUGCCCGCACAAACCUCUCCGUCCCCUCGAGCCAUACCUCUGCUUCCCCCACACGUUGGCCGUUCGUUCUCUCUCCAUGGAAACAGCCACCAUCGCACCUACCCGCGCCCUAUCGCGGCAACGCAGCAGCCCCUGCGCGCCCGGCCAGCCCCGGCGGCGAUGCGCGGCAACGCGGUGCUGUAGCCGGCCAGCCGACCAGCGAGGUCACGCUCGCCCCUGCCCCAGAAGCUGAGGUAUCGGCGAACACGCCCUCGCAGUCGCUUCGUCGACCCCCGUGCAUGCGCAGCACGUCCGUGUGGUAAGCGUCUACCCCCUUCCCGCAUACUUUCUCUUCUUCGUCUACCCCUCCCUAUGCCCAUCCCCACAGCGAGGUCUCGGCCAGCCCCGGCGUGAGCCAUCUCCUGCCCCUGCGUUUUGGUCUAGGGAAAAGAACAACCGUGCGUUUGGAAUUUGGGGAAGAUGAAGAAAGGAAUCGUUCCUCCCACACGUGACGUGGCCUUGUGGCAAUUUUUUUAUUUGUCCCUGGUUGGUUGCAAAGGAUCCUUUAUGGCUACUCCCCGUGUGGUCCACCAUGUAGUAAGCCUCUCGGCCAAUCAGAAUGCGUCGUAUCAUUUUAUUCGGCGUUUAUUAAAUAUAUUUAUUAUCUUUUACGUCAAAAAUCUAUUUUGGUAUGUUCUAAUCGCGUUGUGUUCGUAAUAACCUCAACUGCGUGUUACUAAUGUUAUUUCGUCGUAACACAUGUUUUCAUUAAUUAUUUAGUUAAUCAUUUAUCAAGGUUUAUUUAAACAACAUUUUAAUUAAAAUUAAUGUAUAGUUUUAAAUUGUGAUUUUAUAGAUACAAGUCAAUGUGGUUAGUACAAAUUUAGAUGUUUUCACCUAAAAUUUGUUUAAUGUAAAUAUGAUGUCUAUUUAGCCUUUUUCGCGUGUCAAUCGCGCGCUGUUUGCGCGUCGCCAUUGUUUGUUCAUGCGUUGGCGUCGCGUGUAUGGUGCGCGCGUUGUCGCGUGCUAUUCGCGCGCAUCGUCACGCGUCAUUUGCUCGAGGUCACACGUGGUCGUGCGCGCUUUCCGUGUGCUCCUUCGCACGUGACGCGUGCGCUGUUCUCACGUGUGUCGCGCGGCAUCUGCUUGUGAUAAUAAAUUGUUUUCGCUUAUAAGCACUCGUGUUAGUAACGUUAAUUCGUCAGGUCAUAUAUGUUAGAUAAUUAACUUAAGGUUCGCUCAACUAAUAUUUAUUAGAUUAAUAUUUCAAUUAGAUUAAAUAUGUAAUGUUCAACUUGCGCUUUUAUAAUAAAUAUUAGCAUGACCAAUAUUAACUUAACUAUUUUUUAAUUAUUUAAUAUUUGUUUAGUACAAACGCGUCACCUAUAUAGUAUUUUCUCGCCUGCCGCGCGUGCUGUUCCGCACGUGGUGGCGUGCUGGUUCGCGCGUCAUUCGCGCUGGUCGCGUGCUGAUUUGUGCGUCAUUCGCGCUAGUCGCACGCACUAUUUUGUGUGUCGUCAGCGUGCUAUGUCACGUGUGUCCACGCGUUAGUCGCACGCUGUCGUGUUAUUUCGCUCGUCGUAAAUUUGCAUCACUUAGAAUCUCAUUUUAAUUAAAUAGUAGUUAUAAUUUAUAUUGGAUAAUGCCGAAUUAAAUGUCCUAGUUCAUAUUCGUUUAGCAUAAACGCGAUAACUUAUCGACCGUAGCUUCGACCAACGUGUUUCAUAUUCUCGCGUAAUCAUAGAAGCGCUCUCUAUUUUAUAUUGCUCGUUUUUAUAAUAUUUUAUCUUGUAUGGUGUAAUGUUCUUAUGCAAGUAAAUGUUUGUUUGCUUGUGUCUGUUCGUCUUCGCUUCGCGUUGCGAUUAUAUCGCGAUUCGUUUCCGAGCUUCGAGGAAUCGACGAUCAAGCGUUGGCGACCAAGUGAUCUGGUUCUUCGAGUUCUACGAGAUUGAAGACUCUGGGCAUCUGUUUGGUAAAGGCAAGUGUCCUCUGACCCAUUAUGUCCCAUUUACUUUAUAAUACACUGUCCCACAUACUAUGAACAGCCUAAGGAUUUACUAGCUUUCUAUUUACCUUGUCCUUGAUUUACCUUUUUGGGUUACUAUGGUUAGCUACAUGCUAGCGCUUUACUUUAAUCAAUGAACAUGAUGAGAUACAAUGAUGAUACUAUGAUUUUAUUCUGGAUAUGAUGAUAUACUUGUGGCAUUUAAGGGGACUCGAGUUGUUUCCCGAGUACCUCUCCGUAAGGACCUGUUCGUUGAGAGACCACCCGGGAUAACAGUGAAACCAUGAGGGUGAAAUGGGACGCCCUUAGCUAAUUAAUUAGAGGAACUAGAGGUGUAGUUGCUUCGCCGUCGUGCCGUCAAUGGGGUCCAGGCACAGUGCUUGCUCUGCCGAGGCUGAGUGCCGAGGUUCUUUCGUUUUGCUUUUGUUAGUCACUCUCCUGCGGGGAGGGGUACUGUGUUUAUCAAACUGGAGAAACCUAACGGGCGACUAUGACCUCUAGGGAACCUUUGUAAAAGCUACAUAGUGAUACCCUGCCGGACCACCUAGGAAGUGAUCAAUGGGGAGUCAUGAUCCCCGGGCAAAAUGGGAAUCACGGCUCAUGGGUAAAGUGUGCGACCUCUGCAGAGGGUAAUGAAACUGAUAUAUCAGCCGUGCUCACGGUUAAGAGCAGCCUUGGGAUCCUCUUUGAUUAGAAAUACUUGAUCAAAGAUGGUUGGUUUACAGGUGGUGACAAGGAUGAUGGUUAUGACUAUGGUAAUGGUAAGUGGUAUUCUUUCCGUUUGGAAAGGGUACUUUGGGUUAAUAACUUGGGUUAAUGUUAAAACCUGGCUCGCAAUGAGUAAUAAUAACCUGACCAACUAAAAGCAACUGCUUGACCUUAACCCCAAAUAAAGCUAGUCCACUACAGCCAAACGGGACAUUUGCUGAGUACGUUGAUGUGUACUCACCCUUGCUUUCACAAAACACCAGGUUGCCUUUGGUGCAAUCUAUGCUCAGGUAAAGAAGAAGGCGUCGAGGCGAAUCUCCAGGAGUUCCAGGACUUCGAUGAGUUCGAGGAUUAGGCUAGCGACCUCCCCCAGUCAGCUGCCUGUGGUGGGCUUAUUUACGUUGGCUACGUUUCUGUUCUGUGUACUUUGAUUAUAUUAUGUAAAUGACUCUAGUCUUUCAUAUUAUUACUUAUCUUUAUUGUUA
rnacentral:lncRNA from 1 species